GUGGCCGAAUGGUUAAGGCGAUGGACUAGAAAUCCAAUGGGGGCCGGUCUCCCCGCGCAGGUUCAAAUCCUGUC
rnacentral:tRNA from 1 species